rnacentral:tRNA from 1 species
GGUAAUGUGGCUGAUUUAGGCGAUAAAUUGUAAAUUUAUUUAUGGGUUGAUAAACCCUUUUACCA